rnacentral:lncRNA from 1 species
CUCCUCUCUGGUUCUGUUCUGUGAAGGGCACUGAAAAGGCUGGCGAUGAGAAGAGGAAAGGAUGACGCUGAGGGCUUUUCCCUCCCAACAUCUUUAGCGUAGAGAUGUGAUGUGGUCCCCCCAGAGUCAGAUUCAAGUCCUAACCUGAGGACCUAUAAAAUGAGACUUUGUUGGAAAUAGGGUUCUUUCACAUGUAAUCAAAUUGAGACGAGGUCACAGUCAGAGCCAAUAGCCUGGAUUUUUAAAGAAAGAAGAGGGCACAGGAAGACGGAGCAGAGCUUGGAAGGAUGCUGUUUCCAAGCCAAGGAGCACCAAAAAUUGCCAGCAAAUACCAAGAGCUAAAGAAAGAGGUGAACCUGCAUCUUCCCUGGACCUUCCACAGAGGGCGGGGCCCUGCUGUUGAUUUUGGACUUCUUGCCUCCAGAAGGGCAAGAGAAUACAUUUCUAUUGCUUUAAGCCAUCCCGGUUUGGGGUGCUUUGUUCUGGCAGCUCUGGGAAGCAUAUACAGAGAAUAUAGGGAAGGUCCUUCAACCCCGUAAACAACUACCAAAUUCACCAGCCCCCUGCAAUACCGCCCAGGUGACCUCAUGGGUGACCUCAGAUAAAAGAAAUGCGGUUUUGUUAGCAGCUGUGUGUGGAGAGCUCGCUGUGUAGGCGGAGUCGAACCCUCGUGGAAGCCUCCCACCACCCCUGGGACGUAGGUAAUAACCCAAUUAAACUUGAGGAAACUGAGUCUCAGAGAGAGAGGAAAUAAUUUUCUCAAGGCGAGGAUAUUUAUUUAUUUUUGGCCAUGCCUGCGGCAUGGGGAAGUUCCCGGGUCAAGGAUCGAACCUAUGCCUCAGCAGCGACCCAAGCCGCUAUAGUGACAAUGCUGGAUCCUUAACCCUUUCGGCCACCAGCGAAUUCUGAACAUUUUUCUUUCUUUCUGGCUCCAUGGCUAUUGUCAAAGGCUGGACUGGGCUACUGAGGGCAAAAUGGACCUGGUUGGAUAAGAAAUAUAUUGGUUUUCUAUGCCUCUUAACAAAUUACUGCAAGCUUAGGGGCUUAAACCAACAGAUCGAGUAGCUCACGGUUCCCAUGGGUUGGUUUAGCUGGAUAUUCUGCUCGGGUCUCCCAGGGUUGUAAUCAGGGUGGCCGCGGGCUGCCUUCCUUUCUCUCUCAAGUCACUGGUUGUGGGCAGAACUCAUUUCCUGCUGCCUGACCAAGGCCUCGCUCUCUGGCUCACCAUCCGCCAGGGGCCUCGUGGCUCCCGGGGGCACCCAUAGCUCCCUGCCACAUGGCCUACUGGCGGCUCCCACCAUGACAAUAUGCUUUCUUCUGGGCCAGCAGGAGUGCGUCUCUGCCUUCUUCUCCCCCUCCAGCCUGCCACAGUGGAGCCUUACAUAACAUGUCAUCCUAUUCACAGGUGUCGCCCACACUCACGGGGAGCACACCAAGGGGUGGGGACCUGGGAACCCAGUGAGGAUUCUGCCUACCGAGUUCAGGUGAACUUGACUGGGAGACCAAGAUGAACUUGAGUCCUGGCUCCGUCCCUGACUUGGGGUGUGUCCUUGGCAAAUUUUCUCCCACACCCUUGAAAUCCUGAAUUUCCUUAUUUCUAACAGCGGGACCCUCAUACUAUGCUCAAGGGGGGUGUCCUGAGGAUUAGAUCAGUGGAACCGCCAAGCACUGGUAGUUGCUAGGAGCUCAGUAAACCGCAGCUCCCUCCCUUCUCUUGGCAAGUGUAUCCCCUUCACAAAGGAAAACACAGGAACAGCCAAGCACGUGGAAGGCACCUGGGCCUGGAGCCAGAAGGCCGGGCUCCACCCUGAUGUCGGGCGGGGCCCACCUGUCUCCCGGUUUCUGCUGCCCCCUCCUCUGCUCGCAAAGAGUCAGAAUCCCUGCAGCUUCACCUGGAGAAAAGUGAAGCUGAAAUGAGCUCCCCAGACCAAAAGCCCAUUUUGGAAAGGCCUUCCUCCUUGUCCAGAGUGAAGCCUGGUUCCCCUUUCCCCCGAGGCCAGAUCCCAGCGAGGGAAGGGCACCCUCUCCUCCAGAUGCUGAGCCAACCAAUAAGCAGGUGUGUAUGCAGCCGAUGGCCAGUGCCUUUCUUCCCGUUGAUCACUGGUCCAGUGGGCACCUUCACCACCGUCUCGGUUGCGACCCCCGGGAGAAUCUCGUACAGACCAGGGGUUUUUCCCACCAGGACAGGGCAUGGACCUGCCCAGGCUUCCCCCAGACAUUAGCCCUGGAAAGGGUCAGACCACUCCCGGCCACGCGUUGCUGAUUCUUGGGCGAGUGAACAUCCCACAAGGCGUCUUGCCCUUUGAGGGCCCGAAACUUUGACCGUUUAGGGCAUGAUCUGGCCCAAUGUUGAAGCAGAUGGAAGCCAGAGGUGUACAAUCCACAGGCUGAGCUUUUCUGUGUCAAAAGAGAGGUGCAUGUUGAGAGACCGCUGUCCGCUCUGCAUGUCCAGCCUCGCCCCAAGGGAACUGCCUGCACCAACUCGGUCCAUCUUUCAAGACGCACCUAGGAGGUCUGUGCCACUGUGGGUUAAGGAUCCUGCAUUGUCGCUGCAGAGGCUUGGGGAUUCAAUUCCUGGCCUAGGAACUUCCACGUGCUGUGGGUGCCGCCCCCCC